rnacentral:rRNA from 1 species
GCAGAAGAGGACAGUGGAACUCCAUGUGUAGCGGUGGAAUGCGUAGAUAUAUGGAAGAACACCAGUGGCGAAGGCGGCUGUCUAGUCUGUAACUGACGCUGAGGCUCGAAAGCAUGGGUAGCGAACAGGAUUAGAUACCCUGGUAGUCCAUGCCGUAAACGAUGAGUGCUAAGUGUUGGAGGGUUUCCCCCUUCAGUGCUGCAGCUAACGCAUUAAGCACUCCGCCUGGGGAGUACGACCGCAAGGUUGAAACUCAAAGGAAUUGACGGGGGCCCGCACAAGCGGUGGAGCAUGUGGUUUAAUUCGAAGCUACGCGAAGAACCUUACCAGGUCUUGACAUCUUCUGUCAAUCUUAGAGAUAAGACGUUCCCUUCGGGGACAGAAUGACAGGUGGUGCAUGGUUGUCGUCAGCUCGUGUCGUGAGAUGUUGGGUUAAGUCCCGCAACGAGCGCAACCCUUAUUAUCAGUUGCCAGCAUUCAGUUGGGCACUCUGGUGAGACUGCCGGUGACAAACCGGAGGAAGGUGGGGAUGACGUCAAAUCAUCAUGCCCCUUAUGACCUGGGCUACACACGUGCUACAAUGGACGGUACAACGAGUCGCGAAGUCGUGAGGCUAAGCUAAUCUCUUAAAGCCGUUCUCAGUUCGGAUUGUAGGCUGCAACUCGCCUACAUGAAGUUGGAAUCGCUAGUAAUCGCGGAUCAGCAUGCCGCGGUGAAUACGUUCCCGGGCCUUGUACACACCGCCCGUCACACCAUGAGAGUUUGUAACACCCAAAGCCGGUGAGAUAACCUUCGGGAGUCAGCCGUCUAAGGUGGGACAGAUGAUUAGGGUGAAGUCGUAACAAGGUAACCAAGGGCGAA